rnacentral:rRNA from 1 species
UACAGAGGGGGCAAGCGUUGUUCGGAAUUACUGGGCGUAAAGGGCGCGUAGGCGGCCUUCUAAGUCGAACGUGAAAUCCCUGGGCUCAACCCAGGAACUGCGUCCGAUACUGAAAGGCUUGAAUCCGGGAGGGGGAUGCGGAAUUCCAGGUGUAGCGGUGAAAUGCGUAGAUAUCUGGAGGAACACCGGUGGCGAAGGCGGCAUCCUGGACCGGUAUUGACGCUGAGGCGCGAAAGCUAGGGGAGCAAACAGG